ensembl:lncRNA
UGUUAUUCUAGUUGUUUGGAUUGAAGCUGGAGGAGCAAAAUAUUCUUCUGCUAAAAAAAAGAGAAAGUUGGGGGAGGAAAAGCAACUGCUGGCAUUUGUGGCUGAGCAGCCCCAGGUCUCUCAAAGGGAGACGCUCCAAUCCCCUCAUCAUCUCUGGGGCCCUCUGCUGGACUUCCUCUAUAACUUCCCUGUCUUUCUUGAACUGAGGAAACCAGAACUGCACGCAGAACUCCAAAGGUGACCUCACCAGGGCAGUGUGGGAGGGUGACCUCCCUCUAUGUGCGGGCCGUGCUCUUAUUUAAUGUACCCCAGGGUACCAUAGGAAGAUAGAAGACACAAUUAUUAGAGCCAGGAGUAGGCUCCUCAAGGCCUUGGAUAGAGGCCAAGAUAUACUCUUCUCUGUUUACACCACAGUUUGUUGAUUUUCACCAUUGCUUCCCAUGAUGCCAGGCUCAAGUCGUUGCACUUGUUAUUUAUAGAACACUAGGAAUGAACAGAAACCUCCAAAAAAAAAAAAGGCAAAUAAAAGGUGUUUGUUCUUGUCCUUCCAGUUCUACCUUUCUUUAUCUUCCUCAUAACAUGAAUGUAAGCUAACAUACUUUCCAGGUAUGUACAGGGGUUUGAAACAGGAUUGUUUGUUAGCCCUAAUAAUCCAUUUCCUGUUGGCUGCCUGGGAGUCUGAAAAAUUAAUCUUCCAUUCCAGCACAGACCAAGACCCAGUGUACAUACCAAAGUGCUUGAACACUUCCACUCCUUAGCUCCCAGUAUUUCUUCAGGCUCACCUCACUGCUUUGAGAAGAAAUUGUGUUGUCAGCACAGUAAAAAUUAGCAUCCGCUUCACAGUGCCUUUGCAACAGCUUCUACAGCUCUGCAUUGACAAUCAUUAUUGAACACCACUGAUGUUGAAAAAGACGAAUAAUGAGAACUGCUAACUUGGAGGUAACUGCUGACCUACCAGCCCCCAAGAACAGAGCUCCUGAACAGCCACAGGCCUCAACUGUUCGCUGUUCAUAUGCAUGUUGUGCUGCACAGAUUUCAGGAAGAGACAAUGGCUUAGCAGCUGUGAUGAUUGGCUACUUUUGGCUACUGCAUCAUUUUGUAUUUCCAAGAUAUGCUUUUUUAUUAUUUAUUUAUUUAUUUAUUUACAAUUUCCUUUUCUUUUUUCUUCCACUUACAGAAUAAAAUAUUGGCU